rnacentral:rRNA from 1 species
UACGUAGGGUGCAAGCGUUAAUCGGAAUUACUGGGCGUAAAGCGUGCGCAGGCGGUGAUGUAAGACAGGUGUGAAAUCCCCGGGCUUAACCUGGGAACUGCAUUUGUGACUGCAUCGCUGGAGUGCGGCAGAGGGGGUGGAAUUCCACGUGUAGCAGUGAAAUGCGUAGAGAUGUGGAGGAACACCGAUGGCGAAGGCAGCCCCCUGGGUUAACACUGACGCUCAGGCACGAAAGCGUGGGGAGCAAACAGG